AACGCACAUUGCGCUCCUUGGUAUUCCGGGGAGCACGCCUGUUUGAGAAUCAGUAAAAUCCAUCGACGUCACUUCCCUCCGCUUAACUGCGGAGGGUUGGAGCUUCGGACAUGAGACGUCUGCCCCUUUCGGAGGGGUAGUGUUUCGAAAUAUAAUGUCACGAAAUCGUAGGACGUGAGUCUCAGGUUUCAAGCGCAUGAAAGAGUGUUUCACACCCUAAAGUACGUUUGUAUAUGCCUUUGACGAGCAUGGACUCCGAGUUGAGUGACCCAACUGAAUCAACCAAAGGAUGGGGAAUUUAUCCCUGUUCUUUGAACACUUGGUCUCAAAUCAGGUGGGAAAACCCGCUGAACUUAA
rnacentral:misc_RNA from 1 species